UUUUAUAUCUUUAUGUUUGAAGCCUGAAAUGUGCCAAAAGGUCGCAAAGUUCAAGGGGCCGAAUACUUUCGCAAGGCACUGUAUAUCUUACCACAUUAUGGAACACACAGACAUUCAUCUAUCCUACCACAUUAUGGAACACACAGACACACAGCAGGUCAUAUAUCCUACACAUUAUGGAACAGACACACAGCAGGGUCAUAUAUCCUACCACAUUAUGGAACAGACACACAGACAGGUCAUAUAUCCUACCACAUUAUGGAACACACAGCAGGGUCAUAUAUCCUACCACAUUAUGGAACACACAAGCAGGGUCAUAUAUCCUACCACAUUAUGGAACAGACACACAGCAGGUCAUAUAUCCUACC
rnacentral:lncRNA from 1 species